GCGAUAGUAGUUCAAUAGGUAGAACAUAACCUUGCCAAGGUUAAGGUUACGGGUUCGAUUCCCGUCUUUCGCU
rnacentral:tRNA from 1 species